UAAGACGUAGGGGGCGAGCGUUGUCCGGAUUUAUUGGGCGUAAAGCGUGCGUAGGCGGCUGCGCAAGUCGGGUGUGAAACCCCGGGGCUCAACCCCGGAACUGCAUCCGAUACUGCGUGGCUAGAGGUAGGUAGGGGAGAUCGGAAUUCCUGGUGUAGCGGUGAAAUGCGCAGAUAUCAGGAGGAACACCGGUGGCGAAGGCGGAUCUCUGGGCCUUACCUGACGCUCAGGCACGAAAGCUAGGGGAGCGAACAGGAUUAGAUACCCUGGUAGUCCUAGCCGUAAACGUUGGGUGCUAGGUGUGGGCGGAUAUCGACCCCGUCCGUGCCGAAGCUAACGCAUUAAGCACCCCGCCUGGGGAGUACGGCCGCAAGGCUA
rnacentral:rRNA from 1 species